rnacentral:rRNA from 1 species
AUACGUAGGGGACGAGCGUUGUCCGGAAUUACUGGGCGUAAAGGGCGCGCAGGCGGAUAUUUAAGUCAGCUGUAAAAGGCAUGAGCUCAACUCAUGUAUGCGGUUGAAACUGGGUAUCUAGAGUGCUGGAGAGGUAGGCGGAAUUCCCGGAGUAGCGGUGAAAUGCGUAGAUAUCGGGAAGAACACCAGUGGCGAAGGCGGCUUACUGGCCAGCAACUGACGCUGAGGCGCGAAAGCCAGGGGAGCGAACGGGAUUAGAUACCCCGGUAGUCCUGGCCGUAAACGAUGAAUGCUAGGUGUGGGUGUCGAGAGGCAUCCGUGCCGGAGUUAACGCGAUAAGCAUUCCGCCUGGGGAGUACGACCGCAAGAUUGAAACUCAAAUGAAUUGACGGGG